GACGGAGGGUGCAAGCGUUAUCCGGAUUCACUGGGUUUAAAGGGUGCGUAGGAGGGCAGGUAAGUCAGUGGUGAAAUCUCCAAGCUUAACUUGGAAACUGCCGUUGAUACUAUCUGUCUUGAAUACCGUGGAGGUGAGCGGAAUAUGUCAUGUAGCGGUGAAAUGCUUAGAUAUGACAUAGAACACCAAUUGCGAAGGCAGCUCACUACACGAAUAUUGACACUGAGGCACGAAAGCGUGGGGAUCAAACAGG
rnacentral:rRNA from 1 species